rnacentral:rRNA from 1 species
GACAGAGGUGCCAAGCGUUAGGCGGAAUCACUGGGCUUAAAGCGUGUGUAGGCGGGUCGUUAAGUACCUUGUGAAAUCCCCCCGGCUCAACCGGGGAACGGCUGGGUAUACUGGCGAUCUUGAGCGACCUAGGGGCAGUCGGAACAAGUGGUGGAGCGGUGAAAUGCGUAGAUAUCACUUGGAACGCCAAUGGUGAAAACAGACUGCUGGGGGUUCGCUGACGCUGAGACACGAAAGCCAGGGGAGCAAACGGG